CCGCAUAGAAUCGCUAUCUGGGGCAAUGGGCAGCAGAGCAUCUGAGCAGUACUGGACCAGUGGAGGACAAACAAGUCCCUAAGCACCUGGAGGUGAGCAGCACUGAGCUAUUUAAACCCCAAAACGAAUCUUAGAAGCACAGACUGGUUUGGUUGGAAAAAAAACAAAACAAACCAACAGAAGUACCUGAAGGAGACUGCAAAUGCUGUGGCUGCCCCAUCCCUGGCAGUGCUCAAGGCCGGGUUGGACACAGGGGCUUGGAGCAAGCUGCUCUUUGGAAGGGGUCCCUGCGCGUGGCAGGGGUUGGAGCUGGAGGAGCUUUAAGGUCCCUUCCAACCCAAACCAGGCUGGGAUAUGAUUCUAUGAUAUAAAUUAAUUAUAAUAGCUAUAAUUGUAAACAAUCAUAAGCAUCAAUAAAUAAAUUUCACUCAAAA